UCUAAAUUGAAUACAGAGGCGCUGUCGAGCAUUUAACGUCUAUGAAUUCCCGUUAUCUUUUUUUAUUAUAGAUAAAAAACAAUUAUUUUUAUUAUCAAAAAGAAGCCUUCUAUUACGAAUCAAGGGGAAGCAAGUGUGUGAAUUUAAAAUAAUAUUCAGAAAAAAAUAUGCCGCCGAAGAAAUUAAAGGAAAGUAUAAUUUUUCUUGUAAAGAUUGGGAUUGUCCGUCAUGGUACUCAAAGUAAUUCAAUGUUGCUAGAUAAAGCAAAGUUUAUUUUAAAACACAUUAUCCAAAGGAAGAUAUUUCUAUGUCCAAAAGAUGAAAUAGGAGUAAUAUUAAUGGGAUGUGAUAAUAGUAAAAGCAACAGUAUUACAGAAUUAGAGAACAUUCAAGAAUUGUGUCGUGUGCAAGUUGGAAAUUGGAAUUUGAUAGAAAGCAUUGAGAAAUUACAAACUACCAAUCAGAAUUAUUCUUGGAUGGAAGCAAUUUAUGCUGCAAUUGAGUAUAUCAAUCAUGAAUGUGUAGACAAAUCUGAAAGGAAAAUAAUCUUGUUGUCUGAUUUCAAUGAGGAAGAGGAUGUUGUAAGUCAAUUCCAAAUGGAUGAUAUUGCAAAGACAUUAAGUUCAGAGGAAAUUUCACUCAUAGCAAUUGGAGAAAGAGAUCUAGAUAAUAUAGAUAAAGAUUCUCAAACAGCCAGUGAAGGUUUACUUAUGAGUGUUUUGCGAGAGAUUGGUGGUCAAUAUCUCACUUUUGAGCGUGCUAUGUCAGAUGUACGUUUUUAUAAACGACCGUCAACUAAACCGAUGCCAUGGUAUUGUCAAAUGGAAUUGGGCAACUUUCAUAUACCGAUUGCUGCAAUUUCUAAAAUCCCAACAGAAGUGAAAUUACCAAAAAUGAUAUUGAUGGGUAAAACGAGUACACCCGAUAUGCCAGAGCAAGAAGUGCCAAUUAAGAAUAUUGCACAAUGGACGGAUAAUAAUAGGACUAUUCACACAGAAGAAGAUAUUAUCCGUGGUUAUGUGUAUGGUGGCAAAUCUAUUCCAGUUUCAGAUGAAACUGAGAAAACAAUGACUCCUAAAACUAACGAAAAAUGUUAUAAAAUACAUGGUUUCACUGCAAAAGAAAACAUUCCUAUGGAAUACUGGUUGUCGGAUGGCACGUACGUUAUUGUACCAGCUAAUGAGUCAGUAAGUGCACCAUUUUAUAGUUUGGUACAAGCCAUGGUUGACAAGAAUGUAGUUGCUAUAGUAGAGAAGGUUUACAGAGCAAAUACUGAAGCUAACAUGGUCGCACUAUUUCCAAGUAUUGAUGUACCCAAUGAACCUUGGUGUCUUAUUGAAAUCGGCUUGCCAUUCGAGCGAGAUUACGGUGCGAUAGCGCAGAGACCCUUAAAAUUCGUGAUGAAGCAGUUGUCAAAGGAGCAAAAUGAUGCUAUUGAUGACUUGUUAACAUCUCUAGAAUUGCCUGAGGCUGUUGAUGAUGAUGCAAUUGAUAUCAAUGAAAAGUAUUUACCGGGAUAUAUGCCGGACCCCGGAACGCAACAUAUGUGGGAUAUGUUAGCAGCUCGCGCGCUUAAGCCAGACAAACCGUUGCCACCUAUUGCCGACGAUGUGAAAAAUCUUUUAGAGCAACCCGAGUUUAUGAAAGAAAAAUGCAAACCAGUUACAGAAAGGAUAAAAAAUUUGUUUUCCUUAGAGAAGAAGCAGUCUCCUAAUACUAGGAAGCGCAGAAAAUCGAAAGAAAAAGAUAAUGAACAAUCUGAUAACGGUGAUGUGUUCAUGCAAUCGGUCAAAACAGAUGAAAGAGAUAUUACAAAAGAUAAUAAUGAUAAAUCGGACAAUACGAUUUCUAUACUUAAUGCAUGCAAUGUUGAUUUUGAUGAAAUUAAUAAUAGUUUUUAAUUUUCGCUAUCUUGUCAAAGUGCCAAAAAUAACGAUGACGUUACCGCUGAAUAAGGAAAAGAUGAAGCUCUCUGCCCACAUACCACCUACCUUUUUCCCAUCCUCGAUUUACCGAAAAUUCAUUGACAUCUAAACAUUAUGCCAUGUUUGAGUAGCAAUACAUUUGCAGAUCGGUUUCUGCAAUAUAUACCGCCUUCAUCUAUUUAACUCUUCAAUUAUUUCAUCGACUUGAAUAUUCGCGAAGAUGACGCUUGGCGAUUCAUCCUACAUCUAUAAAAGGAAAGACAUUGUCAGUUGCUUAUGAAACGC
rnacentral:misc_RNA from 1 species